rnacentral:rRNA from 1 species
GAUGAACGCUGGCGGCGUGCUUAACACAUGCAAGUCGAACGGAAAGGCUCCUGCUUGCAGGGGUACUCGAGUGGCGAACGGGUGAGUAACACGUGGGUGAUCUGCCCUGCACUUCGGGAUAAGCCUGGGAAACUGGGUCUAAUACCGGAUAGGACCACAUUUUGGAUGGUGUGGUGGAAAGUUUUUCGGUGUGGGAUGAGCUCGCGGCCUAUCAGCUUGUUGGUGGGGUAAUGGCCUACCAAGGCGUCGACGGGUAGCCGGCCUGAGAGGGUGUACGGCCACAUUGGGACUGAGAUCCGGCCCAGACUCCUACGGGAGGCAGCAGUGGGGAAUAUUGCACAAUGGGCGCAAGCCUGAUGCAGCGACGCCGCGUGGGGGAUGACGGCCUUCGGGUUGUAAACUCCUUUCGCUAGGGACGAAGCGCAAGUGACGGUACCUGGAGAAGAAGCACCGGCUAACUACG